UUUCUUUUUUAAAGUAAACUCUUUAUUCAACGUUGGGCUCUACCUCGUAACCCUGAGAUCAAGAGUUGCAUGUUCUACCGAUUGAGCCAGCCAGGCACCCCUGUUUGCUCUCUAUCUAAAGUUAGCGUCCUCCUUUAUGGCAAUGAUUGCUUUACUGGCUUUAAGGAGCCCAGGCCUAAGUCAAGUUUGAAUUAACCUCUUGGUUGUGUCACAGGGGUGCUAUGAGUGCUUUUCCCCAAUAAUCCUGAGAAUCAGGAGUUCUGUCCUGUCCUGUCCGCUGAGCUUAGGUUCCUAACCGCUUCAAGCAGCAACAUCUUACUCCCAUGGGCAAGAGUCAGUCAUCCUUGCAACUAUCCCCCAGCAGUGCUGGCGGGGGUGGUGGUGAGGGGGGCAUCAGGUCAAUUUAUUUUGUGAGGCAGAUGAAAACAUGGCAUGGGCUGGCUGUGUUUUACCCAGACCCACAGGGCCUGUUCUCAGUCACUGUGUUUCCUCCAGGAGUAACAACUGGUCUGAAGGGGGGAAAAAUUUCCCUUUCCUCUUUUUCCCUCUACUUUUCUCUAAGUCCCAGGGCCUGAUUGGUUAAGUGCCCAGAGAGGAGUCAUGGUGACUCACAAUGGUUCUCAAAACUUUGUGACCACAUGCAAUGAAUGGCAGGCUAUGGACACUGACUAACACCACCUGGGUUACUUCUGGUUCAGGGCUGAACACGGUCCACUGGGCAAUGGUCAGUGACUCUGGCCUCGAGAUCCAAUCACCCAGUGAGAGCGGCAAGGGAACUCAGUCCCAGGCUUCUUCCACUGUGCUCUUUGUGAAGCCAUCCGUAGCGCCAACGAGUCAUGGAGAGGGUAUGCUCUGAAGUCCGUCCCAGCAUACCCAUCCCGAGCGUCAAGAGGAAGGCAGACGAAUACUUAAAACCCACCCUGGGCUCCAAAAACGUCCUGAGCUUUUUACUCGGUAGGCAGUUAGGGAGCCACAGAAAUGAUCUGGAUCUGUCCAAGUGGCUGUGGAUGCUGACGCGAGCCGCACCAGGGUGGAGGUGGCCCUUGCCAAAAAAUCACAUAACCUAUGUGCUCAUGCCUCCGUGCAAUUUUGGAAAAUGCAAAAAACCGGUUUAGAAUAACAAUAGCCUUGCUUCAGCUGUUCAAAUAAAAGCUGCAUUUUCACUCCCAUGGUUUGACACGUUUUUAUGACCAAGCAGCUUUCUUGGGUUAGUUACUCUGGGGAUUCCGUGCCUGGUAAUGCGGAAUGCUGGGGCUCUCCCGGCCUGGGAGGUGGUGAGAUCCCACAGCAGGUCCCAUCUCGUCCACCUUAACCUGAAACAAGAGCCGGGGAACGGUGAUGCAGAAGUGGGUCCUUCCAGAACCGAGACUCCCGUCCCUAGGCCUGGGUGUGGCCCCCUGGGAAACCUAGUCGCUACCCUGGUGAAACACAUUGUCUGACAACAGGGUUCGAGCCCUUGGGAAAUUGAGGACACCCAUAUUUUAAAUUCUGAGGCUCAUGAGACUAUCAUUUAGAAACUAUAGCAUUGCUUCUUUGCUGGCUCUAUUUUAUUUAAAAGAAUUUAGAGCACUGGGCAUUUGAAUAUGGCAAUGUCCCAUUGUAACAGCACACUCCAGCCAGUCUUAGGGGUGAACUUGCCUUAAGCUUAGGGGCUCCUUGCUUACUGACCUAAGCCCCUUGGUGUGUGGUGGAACUAACCUCUUUCCUUGAGAUUUGCAGACCGCUGGCCUUGAGGAGUGAAGGACCAGACUUUCCCAGGAGAUAAGGCCUGUUGGCCUGGGAAAACAGCUCUGGCUGGUGCCAGCAAGUCUGUCCAAGUCUGUCUGCUUCUCCCGUGCACAGCUUCGCCCCCACCCCCUUUUCCUGAGUCUUUGAAAAUGGUCAGGCUCCUCCUGGAUGGGGAAGAUGGUCUUUGAGACUUCUGCCCGCUAUCUCCCAGGCUGCUGGCCUCCUGAAUAAAGCAACCUUUCC